rnacentral:lncRNA from 1 species
GUGUUGGAUUUGUCUUACAACAAUCUGUCUGGUGAUGACAUCAUGUCCGUUGGUCUACUUCCCUGUCUGAAAGUCCUUCAUCUCACCGGGAAUCAACUUCAGUUUCUUCCUCCCAACCUGGCAGCCCCUCCCCAUGGCCCCUCACAACGCGCAAAGGAUAAUGGCAUGCGAUUUCAAACUCUUGAAGUGCUGAUGCUAGAUGACAAUAAGCUGUCCUCUGGUGUCUUCAGCAGCCUUGCCAACCUGAAAAGGCUACAGCAUUUAAACCUGCAAGGGAAUCGUAUCUCAGAGGUACCAGAGGUGUUGCCGAGGAACCUGCAACAGAAGGGAUAUCUGCAACACCAGCAGGUGUUUCACAAACAAAAUUGUGACCUACAGGACCUCAGGAAUCACCGUUUCUUUGAGGGGUUAGAGACUGAAUACAUGAAUGCCGUCUCCGGUGUUCCGGAAAACCAGCAUGAACAUAUCAAGAACAGUUCAGAGGUACAAAGUUGUUAUGGUGAUUUGUAUCACUUCUUUGUUCUUUUAUUACUCCUUCAUACUCUAUAA